rnacentral:rRNA from 1 species
AACGAACGCUGGCGGCAGGCCUAAUACAUGCAAGUCGAACGCCGUAGCAAUACGGAGUGGCAGACGGGUGAGUAACGCGUGGGAAUCUUCCUAAUGGUACGGAAUAGCCCGGGGAAACCCGGAGUAAUACCGUAUACUCCCGUGAGGGGAAAGAUUUAUCGCCAUUAGAUGAGCCCGCGUCGGUUUAGCUAGUUGGUGGGGUAAAGGCCUACCAAGGCAACGAUCCGUAGCUGGUCUGAGUGGAUGAUCAGCCACACUGGGACUGAGACACGGCCCAGACACCUACGUGAGGCAGCAGUAUGGAAUAUUGGACAAUGGGCGAAAGCCUGAUCCAGCCAUGCCGCGUGAGUGAUGAAGGCCUUCUGGUUGUAAAGCUCUUUUGGCGGGGACGAUAAUGACGGUACCCGCAGAAUAAGCCCCGGCUAACUUCGUGCCAGCAGCAGCCGCAG